rnacentral:rRNA from 1 species
CAAUUUUCAGUGACGGAUAUCUUGGCUCGAGCACCUAUGGAGGGCGCAGCGAAGUGCGAUAAUCGUUGUGAAUUGCAGAACUCCGUGAACCAAUGGCCUCUUGAACGUGCAUUGCGCUCUUGGGAUAUGCCUGAGAGCAUGUCUGCUUCAGUG